GCAGGGAUAGCAAAGCGGUCAAAUGCGAUGGGUUUAGGACCCAUUGGUUUAGUACCUUCGAAGGUUCGAGUCCUUCUCCCUGCA
rfam:Candidatus Peregrinibacteria bacterium RIFOXYB2_FTLL_32_7 rifoxyb2_full_scaffold_5682, whole genome shotgun sequence.